rnacentral:rRNA from 1 species
UACGUAGGGUGCAGGCGUUAAUCGGAAUUACUGGGCGUAAAGCGUGCGCAGGCGGCUUCCCAAGUCAGAUGUGAAAUCCCCGGGCUCAACCUGGGAACUGCGUUUGAAACUGGGAGGCUAGAGUGCGGCAGAGGGGGGUGGAAUUCCCGGUGUAGCGGUGAAAUGUGUAGAGAUCGGGAGGAACACCGGUGGCGAAGGCGGGUCUCUGGGCAAUUCCUGACGCUGAGGCGCGAAAGCGUGGGGAGCAAACGGG